UACGUAGGGGGCUAGCGUUGCUCGGAAUCACUGGGCGUAAAGCGCACGUAGGCGGAUCUUUAAGUCAGGGGUGAAAUCCUGGAGCUCAACUCCAGAACUGCCUUUGAUACUGGGGAUCUCGAGUCCGGAAGAGGUGAGUGGAACUCCGAGUGUAGAGGUGAAAUUCGUAGAUAUUCGGAAGAACACCAGUGGCGAAGGCGGGUCUCUGGGCCGAUACUGACGCUGAGGAGCGAAAGCGUGGGGAGCAAACAGGG
rnacentral:rRNA from 1 species